rnacentral:rRNA from 1 species
GAUGAACUCUGGCGGCGUGCCUAAUACAUUCAAUUCGAGCGAACGGACGAGAAGCUUUCUUCUCUGAUGUUAGCGGCGGACGGGUGAGUAACACGUUGAUCACCUCCCUAUAAGACUGGGAUAACUUCGGGAAACCGGAGCUAAUACCGGAUACUCUUUUGAACCGCAUGGUUCACAAGUGUAAGACGGUCUUGCUUUCACUUAUAGAUGAAUCCGCGCGGCAUUAGCUACUUGGUAAGGUAACGGCUUACCAAGGCAACGAUGCAUAGCCGACCUAAGAGGGUGGUCGGCCAAACUGGAACUGAGACACGGUCCAGAGUCAUACGGGAGGCAGCAGAAGGGAAUAUUCCGCAAAGGGCGAAAGCCUGACGGAGCAAAGCCGCGUGAGUGAUGAAGGUCUUCGGAGCGUAAAACUGGGUUAUUAGGGAAGAACAGAUGGGUAAGUAAAGGGGCACAUCGUGACGGUACCUAAGCAGAAAGCCACGGCUAACUACGUG